UACUCCAGUGGAUUUACAAGAAGAUUUGAGCUUUGAGGAGCAUCCAGUGAGAAUACUAGCUCGAGAAGUGAAACGGCUUCGUAAUCGCGAGAUACCCUACGUGAAAAUCCUUUGGAGCAAUCACGAGGAACGAGAAGCCACUUGGGAACUGGAGAGUGCAAUGCAAGAGCAUUAUCCCUAUUUAUUCUCGAUGGAAUCUUGAGGGUUUUUCUCUCUCUACAAAGAAUUCGCCGAUUUCGCUCGUUUUCGUCGUCGCGCGCAUUCUUCGCUGGUUGCGAGUGUUGCAGCACCUUUGUGCACGUGUGAGGGAGUGUUUUGGAAGGCUCUUUGCUGUCCUGAACCAGUAGGGUGCUGGUUGGAAGCUUGAGAAGGUCUUCGAGCCUCGUUGAGCUGAACUUGUACCUUUUGAAGCUGGUUUGGGAGGUAUUCUAACCUGAGCGAGAGUGCGAACGAGCUUUGGAUCGUCGUGAGCUGACUUGUGAGAGCUCUUGGAGGCGUCUCUUGAGCAGCAUUGGGGCUUCGUUGAGCCGUUGUGGGACUUCUUGUGGAUAAUCGGAGCCUAGUACUAGGUGGGUCGGACCUAACCAGAGCAAGUGAAGCUCCCCUAUGUUCUAUAUGUACUAUAGAAUUGAUACAGUUGUAUGUUUUUGUGAUUGAUACAGAAUUUGAGACGAGUCACUAUAUUAUAGUGUUGAUAUGUAUACAUUGAUUGAAUAGAACCUCUAUGAAGUAGAGAGUACUCAUGCAUAAGUGUCUUUAUGCCUAUGUUUAUGUUCAUAUUUAGUUAAGAUAA